GNUUAAUUUGAUCAUGGCUCAGAGUGCACGCUGGUUAGUAGGCCUAACACAUGCAAGUCGAACGGCAGCACAGGAGAGCUUGCUCUCUGGGUGGCGAGUGGCGGACGGGUGAGGAAUACAUCGGAAUCUACUCUGUCGUGGGGGAUAACGUAGGGAAACUUACGCUAAUACCGCAUACGACCUACGGGUGAAAGCAGGGGAUCUUCGGACCUUGCGCGAUUGAAUGAGCCGAUGUCGGAUUAGCUAGUUGGCGGGGUAAAGGCCCAUCAAGGCGACGAUCCGUAGCUGGUCUGAGAGGAUGAUCAGCCACACUGGAACUGAACACGGUCCACUCCUACGGGAGAGCAGACAGUGGAGAGAAUAUUUGGACAUGGGCCGCA
rnacentral:rRNA from 1 species